GAGAAAAGCCCCCGCCCCUCGUCAGCGCCAGCGCGGUUCCUACCGUCCCCCCAACCCCCGCCCGCCAACGUCCCCGCCCCACUCCGGCCCAGGGCUGCAUCCUGCCCAUCUAAGCGGUCGUUAAGCGGCCCCCGAGACCGACCGGAGGCUUGCUGCCCGCGGGCCCUGCGAUCCCAGAGGCGGGGCAGGGGUCGGCCUCCGUCUCUCGGGAGCUAACUUGGUUGGGGCCGGCCGCACAGCGUAGCGCAUCGCGGCGAAAGAGGCUUGGGUCCCGAAUGGCGCCGCUUCUCUGAGACCGCUGACCAUGGGCCUCGACCACCUCCGCGGCCGUCUCCCGACAGGCGGCUCAACGGUUGGGACCUCACUCACCCCGCGAAUAUCCCAGUAACCCAAAACCACAGCCGACUUGCACGACGACAUGACUACGUCGCUUGGGUCCCGGCGAGAACUGGCAAUACAACCCCCACGGGCAGAGCUUUAUAACCAACUUGCAGAUGAGACUAAGGCAGGCACAAGCCGCAGGGGACAGGAAUGAGCUCCAGCUGAGCACUAGAGGACAAAUUCGGCAGAGUGAGGGUGCCUGGAGCUGAGGCAGUCAGCAGACUUGAACUUGAUCUUGAAGCAGAGAGAAAAGGUGCCAUGAUCCCCACUUCACAGAUGAAGAGACUGAGGGUCAAGGAAGCAAGGUGACAUCCCAGUCAAGGACCACGUGACCCACCCUGCCCCCACAGGACUGGAGUUGGGGGUGGGUGGGUCAGAGGAAUCCCACAAAGACCAGGAAAGUCCUCCUCCCCCAGAGGACCCCACCCUUGCCCCAGCAUCUCUGGCCAGGCUGUGAGAUCUUCUGGGCAGAGAUCUGUUCUCAAACAACCAACAAUUUGUUGGCCUUUCCACUUUCUCUUUCAGAAAAGUUCUUGUGCAAAUUCUGUUCUGGUGGGUCAGAGAUUUUGUCCAGGCCUUGGUCAGAUAGAAAAUAAAGGAGGAGCCCUGGGGUGGAGGGAUAGGAGCAGGGGCUGGACCAGACCCCAGGGCAAGUCAGCCUGCCCCCACGAGGUUCAUACUGCUGCCUGAGGGCUGGCUUCUCUCCCCAGGCUGCCUCUGUCUCCCCUGCCUAAGUGGCAUGGAGGUGCUCAGAGGGCAGACUUCUGUCCACAGCCCUCCCUCCUCUGCCAGAUGAAAGAGAGGCCUGCUCCUACAGGGCUCCACUCUGGGCCUCAGGACAGCUGCCCUCACAUCCUCCCAUGACCCCUCCUUUGUAAUCCCCCAGGGCUUCUAAACUGGGGUCUCUCUCGUCUUUUCCUUGCCAGAGGCCCCUUGAAAAAAUCAAUUUAUAUAUGUAUAUGGAAUCAUUAUGUUGCAUACCUGAAACUAAUUUGUUAUAUGUCAAUUAUACUUCAUAAAAUAUAUACUUUGUAAAAUUAUAAAAUUUAUGAUAAAUCAGAUCAGAGGAAGGCAUAUAAAAAUUAACAGCAUUCUAUUCACCCUUCCUCCUUGCCCCCUCCUAUUCCCAAGGGAACCACUCUUAAUUUCUUAUUUAUCCCUAAGAUAUGUUCCUUAUAGACAAGCAUAUAUAGCUACACAUAACUAUAUAUGGUUUUUUAAAAAAUACAAAUGAAUCAUAUCAUAGCCAUAUUGUUUUUCAGCUUACUUUUUUCCCCCCACUUAAUAUCAUAUCUCGGGCAUCUUUUUCAUGUCGACAUCCAUAGACCUACCCAUUCUUUGCAAUGACUGCAAAGUCCUUUGUAAAGACUUCAGUAACCAGUUCCUUUUUUGGACAUUUAAGCUGCUUUCAGUUUUUACUAUUACGAACAGCGCUGAGAUGAACAACUGUAUUUGAAGAUUAAUUGUCAGCUGAUUAAAAUUUGAAUAUACGUUCCCAAAUUGCCUUCUAAAAACCACUGUAACAAUUUACGGUUCCACCAACAGUGUACGAGAAUGCCCAUUUUCUUGCAUCAGCACCAACACAGGUAUUAUCAAACCUUUAAAUCUCUGCUGAUUUGAUAGGUGAAAAUGAUAUCUCAUUAAAAAUUUUGAAAUGUC